rnacentral:rRNA from 1 species
UGGGGAAUAUUGCACAAUGGGCGAAAGCCUGAUGCAGCAACGCCGCGUGAGUGAUGAAGGCCUUCGGGUUGUAAAGCUCUGUCUUUUGGGACGAUAAUGACGGUACCAAAGGAGGAAGCCACGGCUAACUACGUGCCAGCAGCCGCGGUAAUACGUAGGUGGCAAGCGUUGUCCGGAUUUACUGGGCGUAAAGGAUGCGUAGGCGGAUUUUUAAGUGAGAUGUGAAAUACCCGGGCUUAACUUGGGUGCUGCAUUUCAAACUGGGAAUCUAGAGUGCGGGAGAGGAGAAUGGAAUUCCUAGUGUAGCGGUGAAAUUCGUAGAGAUUAGGAAGAACACCAGUGGCGAAGGCGAUUCUCUGGACCGUAACUGACGCUGAGGCAUGAAAGCGUGGGUAGCAAACAGGAUUAGAUACCCUGGUAGUCCACGCCGUAAACGAUGAGUACUAGGUGUAGGAGGUAUCGACCCCUUCUGUGCCGCAGUUAACACAAUAAGUACUCCGCCUGGGAAGUACGAUCGCAAGAUUAAAACUCAAAUGAAUUGACGGGGUC